CAUGCAAGUCGAACGGUCCCUUCGGGGAUAGUGGCGGACGGGUGAGUAACGCGUGAGGAUCUGGCUACAGGACGGGGACAACGAAUGGAAACGUUCGCUAAUACCCGAUGUGCCGAGAGGUGAAAGAUUUAUUGCCUGUAGAUGAACUCGCGUCGGAUUAGCUAGUUGGUGGGGUAAGGGCCUACCAGGGCGACGAUCCGUAGCUGGUCUAAGAGGAUGAUCAGCCACACUGGGACUGAGACACGGCCCAGACUCCUACGGGAGGCAGCAGUGGGGAAUUUUCCGCAAUGGGGGGAACCCUGACGGAGCAACGCCGCGUGGGUGAUGAAGGCUUUCGGGUCGUAAAGCCCUGUCAGGUGGGAAGAAACUUAUGGAUGUUAAUACCAUCCAUACU
rnacentral:rRNA from 1 species